rnacentral:lncRNA from 1 species
CCUUCCCCACUUGACUUCCUUCUUGGAGAUAGUCCUGGCUUUUGGGAAAAACUUCUGGGCUCUGAGGCUGUUGCUGGAGCAGCUUUCCUGCGAGGAGCACAUCCUGUGUGGCACUGCCAACCUGCUUUUGAGGGACCUGAGCAGGGAGGAAGGCACCAUGCUGAGAGUGUGGCAGAACUCUGGCCCUCAGUACGUGGGGGAGUUCCUGUGCCUGUUCCUGACCUGCAGACACAAGAGGAUGCAAUCCGUGGGGCUCUUCAGCCUCAACGUGGUCAUAGAGAACCUGCACCUAUGCCCCUGGGUAAAGCAGCUCUGCACCUUUUUCCACGAGUCAGGGUUGGGGCAGCUCCCCUUUGGCACCACAGUUCACCAGGAAGUUUCCAAGUUCGUCAGUGCUUUUGAGAAGCUCUGAUUGGGACCAAAUCCUCAGGAAUAUUUUCUCCGUUGGUUUUUCACCCAAGCAGUCUCUUCCUGGAGAGUUCUUUGGGUUUGCUUUGGUUGUCACCUCCAGGAAGAGUCAGCUAAAAACUGGGACUGGCUCUGGAACAGAACAUUUGGGGAGUUUCUUGCAGUUCCACAUAUUCAGGAGUUGUUGGAAGAGGCAGCAGCUUGGAGUUGUUUUCAGAAGCUGAGAAAAGCAGGGAUGGAGCAGGAAGCAGCAGAGAAUUCUUCCUCCUGUUGGGACACAAACCUUGCAAGAGGCAAAUGCUGAGAGGGGAAAAACUUAAACCAGGCA